rnacentral:tRNA from 1 species
GAGGGUAUAGCUCAAUGGUAGAGCCCAUGUUUAGCAUGCACAAUGUCCUGGGUUCAAUCCUCAGUACCUCCA